rnacentral:rRNA from 1 species
UACAGAGGUCUCAAGCGUUGUUCGGAUUCAUUGGGCGUAAAGGGUGUGUAGGUGGCGCGCUAAGUCGGGUGUGAAAUUUCGGAGCUUAACUCCGAAACUGCAUUCGAUACUGGCGUGCUUGAGGACUGGAGAGGAGACUGGAAUUCAUGGUGUAGCAGUGAAAUGCGUAGAGAUCAUGAGGAAGACCAAUGGCGAAGGCGGGUCUCUGGACAGUUCCUGACACUGAGACACGAAGGCCAGGGGAGCAAACGGG